UUGGUUGUUUCUCACGCAGAGCCCGCCCUCUUUCGAAUUUCUUCGGCGAAUCGGGUUUCUUGCUCUGUGACGACGCGAUAGUUCCGGGAAAAUGGCGGCCCCCUGAGAGGGGGCAACGUGUGAUGUUUGUAAGAGGCACGAUGAAGCCGUAGCUUUGAGUUUGGGGUGUUAGAUGCUCUGGAGGAGCCCCGUCUGUCAGGGCUGUGUGUGUGUUGUUAUGUGACACACUGACAUCUCAUAACGGGACUCGUUUUAGUGUAGCUUUGAGAAUGGGCUUGACAUUGCAUAGGCAGGUGUAACCAUCUGUGAUUAAAUGUGACUGGAGGAGCACAAAGCAUGGAGAGAGGAUCUGAUUAUCCGAUUGGCUGACGGCAGGACGGUCAAAGGUCAGCUGGAGUGACCUCGCCGUUACAGAUGGCCGAGAGUGAACGUGGUGUACAGAGUGAAUGGAGAUCUGUGGGAUCUAAGUCUCUCUCUGGUGGAGGACUGCGUGAACUGCAGCUGCUGGGUUUUGACUCACUGGAGGGCAGACAGUGUGAUGUUGGAGCAGCGGGUUCGAGCAGAUUUUGGCGCGCUGCACCGUAACGAACACUCGGGGGCGCUGGGGGGUUUACCCAGAGUCCGGCGCUUCUGCUAGGACCGCGCGCACAUCUUCUGCACACCUGAGCAGGUACAGCUUCAAAGCAAUUCAGUCGUUUUUGCAAAAGGAUCAAUCAUAUCAAAAAACAC